GCCUGACUGGCUCAAUCAGUAGAGCAUGAGAUUCUUGAUCUUGGGGUCGUGAGCUCCAGUCCCUUGUUGGGUA
rnacentral:tRNA from 1 species